AAAAAAUGAUUUACGAAUAUAUCAUUUGAGACAAAUCCCUAUUUCCCUUCUUCUAUCGAAAUUGUGACAAAUUCCUCUUUCUGUCUUCUUCUGACAUCGAAAUUGAAAAUUACAUAGCUAUAUUGAAGGUUUUAUCCAAGGAACAGAAACACCUCGAAACAUAUACAACAAUUUUUUUUUUCAUGGAGAUCUCAUUUUCAGCUACAAUACGACAGAGAGGGAGGUACUGCGUUUCACCGUCCCCCUGGGUCCGACGGUUGUCUUCCGGAAGAUACCGUUUCCAAACUCAAGAUUGUUACGAUAGCUGCACAUUUGGCCCGAUUCACAUGAACCGUAUCUUAGGAUGGGCUAUUUACUUCUUGUAGCAAAUAGUAACAGAAAUAUUUGCCACCGAGGGUACUCGUGUAGCAAAUAGUGUGUUGGCAGAAGGAGAAUGUUGGGUUCAAUCUUCUAAUGAGAACCGUGAACGCAAUGACUGAGAGCUUGGUGGAUGACAAUCCAAUAGUCAACGUGAAGUUGGAAAACAAUGGGAAUUAUUAGGUGAAUUUUAUAACAAAGACUUUGAUUGAAAAUACGUGUUUUUGGCAUGGUGUUUUCGCUGGUUCAUACCAUGUUGGAUAUAUUUUCGACUAUACACGGCUGUAUUCACAAACUCCGCCCAAAAUCUCUUUGGCAGCCCUUUCUCGUUCAUCAUGGAUAUUGUCAUUUCCACAAUUGUCCGAUUCUUCUUUUCGGUUAUCCCGUUUUGCUGGGGACUGUAACAUGCUGUCAAUUGCUUCCAAAUACCUUCAUUUUUGCAAUAUUCGACGAACUCCUUAGAGGUA